AUGGAUAGCUUAGUUUUCUUGUACAUACUUUGUAGUUUCAAUGAUGAGACAUAUAUGUCAACUAUGGGUGUUGGCUCCAACAAUUCUCAUUGGUCUCAAACCAAUGAAGUGCAUUUAGAUGAUCAUGAGUUUGAGGUGGACGAGGAUGGUGAGGGUAUCGUCGAUGCACCGAAAGGAAGAGCGGGCAACUACACCAUGGAGGAGGACAUCUUGCUAUGCAAUACAUGGUUGCAAGUGUCUAUGGAGGCCAAUGUUGGAGGGGACCAAAGUAGAGAUGCAUAUUGGACCCGGAUGAAGGAGCACUUUGAUGUACACAACAUGAGUGGAAUUUACCGCACGGAGAGAUCUCUUCGCUCCCGAUGGUCGACAAUCAACAAAGAUUGUCAAAGGUGGGCAUUGGAGGAGAAGAAAUUGGCCAUGGAGGAGCGAUCCAGAUUAUUGGAAUGGGAGAAGUACUUGUUCUUCAUGGACACAUCUAACCUCGAUGCUAAGCAAAAGGAGUACGUCAAUCUUUCCCGUGAAGAAGUCUUGGUCCAAAAAAGAGCCAUGGCCAUGGGAGGCAUGGGAGCUACUACCUCCGUCCUGGUUUAUUGGUCCCCUUUGUAA
rnacentral:rRNA from 1 species